CGAAGGACCCGAGCGUUAUCCGGAUUCAUUGGGUUUAAAGGGUGCGUAGGCGGGCUGAUAAGUCAGUGGUGAAAGCCUGUUGCUUAACAACAGAACUGCCAUUGAUACUGUCGGUCUUGAAUAUGUUUGAUGUGGGCGGAAUAUGACAUGUAGCGGUGAAAUGCUUAGAUAUGUCAUAGAACACCGAUUGCGAAGGCAGCUCACAAAGCCAUUAUUGACGCUGAGGCACGAAAGCGUGGGGAUCAAACAGGAUUAGAUACCCUGGUAGUCCACGCCGUAAACUUUGAUCACUCGCUGUUGGCGAUACACUGUCAGCGGCUAAGCGAAAGCGUUAAGUGAUCCACUGGGGAUACGAUCGCAAGAUUG
rnacentral:rRNA from 1 species